rnacentral:lncRNA from 2 species
AAUUAUCCAAAUAAAUUGCAAGCAUUCUAUCCAAAUGGAGCUCUUUCUGAGAUGAAGAGAAUUCUCAAUGUCAAGAUUUGAACAAGAAGAGAAUGGAAUACACAAUAUGGACAUCCAUAAAAAUUCAUCAGAGAGCAUUUUACUACUGAGCUGCAAAGGGAAAAACUUAAAAUGGAUAUGAAAAGUGAAGAAAGUGAUCAUAGGAGAAAACCAUUUCAGAUGACAAGAGCACCUCAAAGGCAGCAGCCUCAAGGAGCAGCCAUGGCCCCAGACUUGUCGCACGGAUGCAGAAAACUUAAUGGAGGAGGCUGAGGUCAGAAUGGGAAGAGUUUUUAAAAAAUAAAAAGGGGAGCUAA